GGGUGACUAGUGACAGAGUGAGGGAAGGGGUGACUAGUGGCACAGUGAGGGAAGGAAGGGGUGACUAGUGACAGAGUGAGGGAGGUGGUGACUGUCACUAGUCACCACCUCCCUCACUCUGUCACUAGUCACCACCUCCCUCUGUCACUAGUCAUCCCCUCCCUCACUCUGUCACAUGUCAUCCCCUUCCCUCUCUCUGUCACUAAUCACUCCCUCCUAACUCUGUCACUGUGUCACCCC